UACGAAGGGGGCUAGCGUUGCUCGGAAUUACUGGGCGUAAAGCGCACGUAGGCGGCUUUCUAAGUCGGGGGUGAAAUCCUGGAGCUCAACUCCAGAACUGCCCUUGAUACUGAGGAGCUCGAGUCCGGAAGAGGUGAGUGGAACUGCGAGUGUAGUGGUGAAAUGCGUAGAUAUCGGGAGGAACACCAGUGGCGAAGGCGACUUCCUGGCCUGUUCUUGACGCUGAGGCGCGAAAGCUAGGGUAGCAAACGGG
rnacentral:rRNA from 1 species